rnacentral:rRNA from 1 species
GAUGAACGCUGGCGGCGUGCCUAAUACAUGCAAGUCGAACGCAUCCCGUUAAAUGAAGUGCUUGCACGGAUUUUAACAUUGGAUGAGUGGCGAACUGAUGAGUAACACGUGGGUAACCUGCCCAGAAGCAGGGGAUAACACUUGGAAACAGGUGCUAAUACCGUAUAACAACAAAAACCGCAUGGUUGUUGUUUGAAAGGUGGUUUCGGCUAUAACUUCUGGAUGGACCCGCGGCGUAUUAGCUAGUUGGUAGAGUAAUGGUUCACCAAGGCAAUGAGACGUAGCCGACCUGAGAGGGUAAUCGGCCACAUUGGGACUGAGACACGGCCCAAACUCCUACGGGAGGCAGCAGUAGGGAAUCUUCCACAAUGGACGAAAGUCUGAUGGAGCAACGCCGCGUGAGUGAAGAAGGUUUUCGGAUCGUAAAACUCUGUUGUUGAAGAAGAAUACGUUUGAGAGUAACUGUUCAGACGUUGACGGUAUUCAACCAGAAAGCCACGGCUAACUACGUGCCAGCCGCCGCCGUAA